UAGCUUUGUCCCAAGUCAAACUUCUUUAAUUUUGACCAAGUUUUCAGAAAAAUUAACUAACAUCUACAAGUUCAAAGUGAUGCACUGUCAAGGCAUAUUUCAUUGAGAAUUUAAUGAAACUAAUUUGAUAUCGUAAAUGUUGAUGCAUUUUCUGUAAGCUUGAUCAAAGUUAGCUAAGUUUGACUUAGGAAAAAUGCUA
rnacentral:pre_miRNA from 1 species